CUAAGGCUCCUUCAAACAUGGCCGACAGAUGUGUCCUUCCAUUGUUGACUUUAUAAUCCAGUGACUAUGUCAACUGGUUUAUUACAUGUUGAGUGCUGGUGUUCCAGACCUUCCUAGAAUCCUGUGAGUCCAGAACUGAAAUAUUUUCACCCUCAAUCUAAAUCCUGUAAACUCGGCAAAACAAUUUAUUUUUCAUCUGUGUCCAUGUUCAACAAACUGCUCAUGAUGUGGUUAAAGAUGUAUGACGACCUUUAUCUUUAUCAUCAUGUGACUAACAUUGUACAGUGAUGAAUAAUGCUGUCUCUGCUUCAGAAGCACGUAUUAUCUCCUUCUUUUGUUUGCAUGGAAUAAAAUGUUGAUCCAUCCAUUGAAUCGCAGCAGCUGACUUUUUGUAAAUCGGCUACAGGUGAUACAACAUGCUGCUGCCAGACUGUGAAGAGGAGGAGGUGGAACUGAGAGAAGAGAAAAUACAGAUGUGAGAGGAGACGGAGAGAUUCAGGGAGGAGCUGAGCUGUUACUGAACUAUAGACGAGAGAGGAACUUCCAUAUUCAGCAGAGUUCAACAUACAAACCAGCAACAUUACCUUGAUUCAACAUGCUGUCACUGCAUCAUUCUGUAGUUUCUCUACUGCUUCUCUACACUCUAACAGACAUCAGCUGUGGAGAACUCACACCAGUAAAGACUGAAGAGUUCAGUGUAGAAGGCAGAACUGUGACUCUGUCCUGCAACGACACCAAACUGUCAUCAAGUGAUUAUUUCUUCUGGUAUCGACAACAUCCAGGAAAACCUCCAGAGUUCCUCAUCUCACACUCUGCUUCAGGAGAAGUAACUGCUCCAACAUCUGGACUGAUGAUUAAAGUGGAGCAAAACCAAAUCAACAUGAUCAUCUCCUCUGCUGCAGUGACUGACUCUGCUGUGUACUACUGUGCUCUGCAGCCCACAGUGACAGGAAACAACACAACUCUGUACAAAAACCUCUGCAGCAAACAAGUCAAUACUCCACAUGGUCCACUAGAGGGAGUCACACCCUGUCACACCUCAGUGUUUCUCUUCAUUCAGAUUCUUCUUGGUGAAGAUUCACACCAGAGAGAAUGAACAACUAAAGCCGUGAUUUUUUUGGGGUGUACCACAGGGUUCAAUCCUGGGUCCUCUCAUGUUCUGUUAUAAAAUACAUCAAAGUCCAGUAAUUAUGGCAGAAGGAUUGUUUGAAGUCUUACUGUCACAGUCAGCUCACCUUCAUGCCCAGUAGGUUCCCACGUCACCUCCCCUCUGUCCCGCACGAGCAAUCAGCUACACCCACCUCAGCACCUCACCUAGCUCCGCAGCUUCAGCUCAUCACCAAUCCGGUCCGUAUAUAACCUCCUCUCACUCAUUCACUCACCGCCAGAUUGUUCUUUGUACUAUAUGUCAGACUUUCCAGCGAUAUCCCACGGACGGAUCUCCCGGUAUCGAAUCUGGUUCUGCCCCCGACUUCCCCGUAUCGUCUCAGCCCUGGUUAAGACCCUGCCUUUGUCCCUGGUUUCCCCACUUGGCCUGAACCCCGAAGAAGACCUCUGCCUGCUGCCCCCGACCUUCCCGUCUCGCCUUGAUCCCGGUAAAGACCUCGGUCUUCUGCCCCGACUCCGAGCCUUGCCUGUGUACUGACGAUUUCCUGGUUGGUGUCAUCCACCGGGACAGUUUCAUUGGCGUUGUCUGCUCGCCGGCAGUUUGUGAACAAUAAAGUUGAUUACCAACAUA